GAUGAACGCUGGCGGCGUGCUUAACACAUGCAAGUCGAACGGAAAGGCCCUGCUUUUGUGGGGUGCUCGAGUGGCGAACGGGUGAGUAACACGUGAGUAACCUGCCCUUGACUUUGGGAUAACUUCAGGAAACUGGGGCUAAUACCGGAUAGGAGCUCCUGCUGCAUGGUGGGGGUUGGAAAGUUUCGGCGGUUGGGGAUGGACUCGCGGCUUAUCAGCUUGUUGGUGGGGUAGUGGCUUACCAAGGCUUUGACGGGUAGCCGGCCUGAGAGGGUGACCGGCCACAUUGGGACUGCGAUACGGCCCAGACUCCUACGGGGGGCAGCAGUGGGGAAUAUUGCACAAUGGGCGGAAGCCUGAUGCAGCAACGCCGCGUGCGGGAUGACGGCCUUCGGGUUGUAAACCGCUUUCGCCUGUGACGAAGCGUGAGUGACGGUAAUGGGUAAAGAAGCACCGGCUAACUACGUG
rnacentral:rRNA from 1 species